UACGGAGGAUGCAAGCGUUAUCCGGAUUCAUUGGGUUUAAAGGGUGCGCAGGCGGGCUUUUAAGUCAGUGGUGAAAAGCUGCCGCUUAACGGUAGUCUUGCCAUUGAUACUGAGAGUCUUGAGUUUGGAUGAGGUAGGCGGAAUGUGUAGUGUAGCGGUGAAAUGCAUAGAUAUUACACAGAACACCGAUUGCGAAGGCAGCUUACUAAUCCAUCAUUGACGCUGAGGCACGAAAGCGUGGGGAUCAAACAGGA
rnacentral:rRNA from 1 species